AGAGUUUGAUCAUGGCUCAGGACGAACGCUGGCGGCGUGCCUAACACAUGCAAGUCGAACGGGGUAAAGAGCUUCGGUUCUUUACUUAGUGGCGAACGGGUGAGUAACGCGUGAGAAACCUGCCUUUCAGUGGGGGACAACAGGUGGAAACGACUGCUAAUACCGCAUAAUGUUAUUUGAGGGCAUCCUCGGAUAACCAAAGAUUUAUUGCUGAAAGAUGGUCUCGCGUCUGAUUAGCUAGUUGGUGAGGUAACGGCUCACCAAGGCGACGAUCAGUAGCCGGUCUGAGAGGAUGAACGGCCACAUUGGGACUGAGAUACGGCCCAGACUCCUACGGGAGGCAGCAGUGGGGAAUAUUGGGCAAUGGGGGAAACCCUGACCCAGCAACGCCGCGUGAAGGAAGAAGGCCUUCGGGUUGUAAACUUCUUUUACCAGGGACGAAAAUUGACGGUACCUGGAGAAAAAGCAACGGCUAACUACGUGCCAGCAGCCGCGGUAAUACGUAGGUGGCAAGCGUUAUCCGGAAUUAUUGGGCGUAAAGAGUGAGUAGGUGGUUAGAUAAGUCUGGAGUGAAGUACUGUUGCUUAACAAUAGUAUGCUUUGGAUACUAUCUAGCUAGAGAUCGGAAGAGGCUAACGGAAUUCCAUGUGUAGCGGUGAAAUGCGUAGAUAUAUGGAGGAACACCAGUGGCGAAGGCGGUUAGCUAGUCCGAAACUGACACUGAGUCACGAAAGCGUGGGGAGCAAAUAGGAUUAGAUACCCUAGUAGUCCACGCUGUAAACGAUGAGUACUAAGUGUUGGCGCAAGUCAGUGCUGAAGCAAACGCAUUAAGUACUCCGCCUGAGAAGUACGUUCGCAAGAAUGAAACUUAAAGGAAUUGACGGGGGCCCGCACAAGCGGUGGAGCAUGUGGUUUAAUUCGAAGCAACGCGAAGAACCUUACCAAAUCUUGACAUCCUUCUGACCGGAGGUUAACCCCUCCUUCUCUUCGGAGCAGAAGUGACAGGUGGUGCAUGGUUGUCGUCAGCUCGUGUCGUGAGAUGUUGGGUUAAGUCCCGCAACGAGCGCAACCCCUAUCUUUAGUAGCCAGCAUUUCGGAUGGGCACUCUAGAGAGACUGCCGGGGAUAACCCGGAGGAAGGUGGGGAUGACGUCAAAUCAUCAUGCCCCUUAUGAUUUGGGCUACACACGUGCUACAAUGGCGUAAACAAAGGGAAGCAGCCCUGUGAAGGUGAGCAAAUCCCAAAAAUAACGUCUCAGUUCGGAUUGUAGUCUGCAACUCGACUACAUGAAGCUGGAAUCGCUAGUAAUCGCGGAUCAGAAUGCCGCGGUGAAUACGUUCCCGGGUCUUGCACUCACCGCCCGU
rnacentral:rRNA from 1 species